UACGGGGGGGGCAAGCGUUGUUCGGAAUUACUGGGCGUAAAGGGCUCGUAGGCGGCCAACUAAGUCAGUCGUGAAAUCCCCAGGCUCAACCUGGGAACUGCGUCUGAUACUGGAUGGCUUGAAUUCGGGAGAGGGAUGCAGAAUUCCAGGUGUAGUGGUGAAAUGCGUAGAUAUCUGGAGGAACACCGGUGGCGAAGGCGGCAUCCUGGACCAACACUGACACUGAUGAGCGAAAGCCAGGGAGCAAACGGG
rnacentral:rRNA from 1 species